GUCGAAUGGGUUUAGACCCAUGGCAGACGAGGUAGGAACACGUAGGUACAAACCCCAAAGUCAGGGAUAACUCGGCGAAAGUCGGGAUAAUACUUGAUAGUCCCAGCACCUUUUUAAGGUGCUGGGUAAAGAUUUAUCGCUUUGGGAUUGGCCUGCGUUCUAUCAGCUUGUUGGUAAGGUAACGGCUUACCAAGGCUACGACGGAUAGGGGAGGUGAGAGCCUGACCCCCACCGAUGGAACUGCGACACGGUCCAUACUCCUACGGGAGGCCGCAGUCGAGAAUCUUCCGCAAUGGACGAAAGUCUGACGGAGCGACGCCGCGUGGAGGAUGAAGUCCUUAGGGACGUAAACACCUUUUAUGAGGGAGGAAUUUUAUUGACGUUACCUCAUGAAUAAGGGGCUCCCAAUUCUGUGCCAGCAGGAGCGGUAAUACAGAAGCCCCGAGCGUUACCCGGAUUCACUGGGCGUAAAGGGUGCGUAGGCGGAUAUGUUAGUCAGGUGUUAAAACCUGGGGCUCAACCCCAGGAUCGCAUUUGAAACGGCAUAUCUAGAAGACGUGAGAGGUGAAUAGAACUCAGGGUGUAGGGGUGAAAUCCGUUGAUAUCCUGGGGAAUACCAAAUGCGAAGGCAGUUCACUGGCGCGAUCUUGACGCUGAGGCACGAAAGCGUGGGUAGCGAACGGGAUUAGAUACCCCGGUAGUCCACGCCCUAAACGCUGUCUGCUAGCUGUAGAGAGUAUCGACCCUCUCUGUGGCGUACGUAACCCGUUAAGCAGACCGCCUGGGUAGUACGAGCGCAAGCUUAAAACUCAAAGGAAUAGACGGGGGCUCGCACAAGCGGUGGAGCGCGUGACUUAAUUCGUCGCUAAGCGAAGAACCUUACCGAGGCUAGAUAUCCUACUGCACGACCUGGGAAACCAGGUAAGCUUUCGAACGUGUAGACAGGUGAUGCAUGGAC
rnacentral:rRNA from 1 species